UACGGAGGGAGCUAGCGUUGUUCGGAAUUACUUGUCUUAAAGCUCACUUAGGCGGCUUUUUAAGUCAGUGGUGAAAUCCCGGGGCUCAACCCCGGAACUGCCCUUGAAACUGGAGAGCUAGAAUCUUGGAGAGGCGAGUGGAAUUCCGAGUGUAGAGGUGAAAUUCGUAGAUAUUCGGAAGAACACCAGUGGCGAAGGCGACUCGCUGGACAAGUAUUGACGCUGAGGUGCGAAAGCGUGGGGAGCAAACAGG
rnacentral:rRNA from 1 species